rnacentral:misc_RNA from 1 species
UUGAUUCUUGUGUAUUAUUCAGACGACACACCGAUUUAUGCAUAAAAGCGGCGCCCGCGAGGGACGCCGAAGCACGUUUUUAGCUUCCACAGGUUUGAGGGGUAGAAGGUCAAAGACCAUUCAAUAAUGAUCCCUCCGCAGGUUCACCUACGGAGA